rnacentral:rRNA from 1 species
UGAGGAAUAUUGGUCAAUGGACGCAAGUCUGAACCAGCCAUGCCGCGUGAAGGAUGAAGGCGUUCUGCGUUGUAAACUUCUUUUAUCUGGGAAGAAACCUCCGAUUUCUAUUGGAGCCGACGGUACCAGAGGAAUAAGCACCGGCUAACUCCGUGCCAGCAGCCGCGGUAAUACGGAGGGUGCAAGCGUUAUCCGGAUUCACUGGGUUUAAAGGGUGUGUAGGCGGGUAUUUAAGUCAGUGGUGAAAUCUCCAGGCUCAACCUGGAAACUGCCAUUGAUACUAUUUAUCUUGAAUCCUGUUGAGGUGGGCGGAAUAUAUCAUGUAGCGGUGAAAUGCUUAGAUAUGAUAUAGAACACCGAUUGCGAAGGCAGCUCACUAAACAGGUAUUGACGCUGAGGCACGAAAGCGUGGGGAUCAAACAG